rnacentral:lncRNA from 1 species
UCACAGAAUUUUUGUAAUCACCAACUUCCUUUGUCCAAACAAACACAGCUCUCAAUAAACAACAAUCAUAAUCUUUCAAUAACUCCUCAUAUAAUUCAAUCACUCAGUACUCCAAUUACAUAAUCAAUAACUCAUAAAUCAAUCCCUGAUUUAUUCCACAGACUCACUUCUCAGUAUUCAAAAACUAUCCAUUACUCUUCAACAAUAAAGAAACAAAGAAACAAAAAGGUAGCACCAAGCUUACUCCGGCUCAUAACUAUCACAGUCUAGUACCCCAACAAACUUCUACAACUCCUAUAUAAUUGUUCAUGAUUUCC